rnacentral:lncRNA from 1 species
CCUUAGCAUAAUUUUUCUUUUCUUUUGGCCUUCUUUGUUUUACAUCUGGAUUCCUGGAUGGUUUAUUUUGUCUGUUUCCUGAAUUUCCCUCCUUCCUAUUUCUUAUAGUUAGGUUUUUCUUUUUUUUCCUUUUCCUUCAGCUUCAGUUCUUUCCCCUCAAGCUUUCCUUGGGCCACACAGGCUUUUAUUCUUGUUCAUUUGUUUAAGCAGUGCUGGCAAGAAGGAGGCCACAGCCGGCAGGCAGAGGCACAGUGGCAGAAGAGGACCUGGGUGUCUGAAGGCUCUCCCCCUGUGAGGGUUGAUGUUGUCUGCCAGGCCUGGGCUGAGGGUUGGGGGCAGAUGGUGUUUCCUCCAUGGUGUGUGGGCCUGGGCCCCAUUGCUCAGGGAGGCAAUGGAAUCCAUCCUUCUCUGGGUGGAUGGGUGUGGGGGAUUCACCAGCUUCCACCCAGAAAGGCUGGAGCUCAGGGAGGUGCACCCACUGGGAAUGUGUCACCUGCAAACUCUGUGCUGUGGGUGGGAGGACAACAGCAUAGGGUCUGCCUCUUGGAGGAGUCUGGGUAUCCUUUGGUCCUCACUCUCUGGCAGAAGUCGGCCUGGACAUCUGGAACUGUCUGCUGGGGAGACAGAGGCAGUUUUCCAGGGGAAAGUCCUUCCUUCCCAAUGCCCCCCACCCCUGGCAGGUGGGUGUUUUGAGGGCACACGGAGAAUACAAGAGGCUGAUAAUUGCGAGCUGUCUUAAAAGCUCUUGGCUACUGGGGAGCAACACAAACCCCACCUGUGGGAGGCCCUGAGGGUCAGCUCUGGUACUGAUAGGAGCAGGUGGCACUUCUCGAUGGGCGCGGUGGCAGAGAAAACCUAGAAGUUGCAGCCGCACCCCUCCUUGUCUGGAGUGGUGGGGGAGGGGUGUGAGGCGGUCCGGCUCUGCUCCCCAGCUGUCUGAGGCAGAUCGACUGAAGUCCAUCUGGCUGUAGGGACCCCCCCACCCCCACAAGGCUUGCUUCCCAUCCCCGGGUGUCAAUGCUGUUGGGCGCUAGUUGAGUCCCGCAGGCCCACCCAGUACUCUGCUUGGGGCACACCUAGAGCUGCGCUGCAGGGGGCGGGCCCAAGAGCAUCAGCUGGACGCCCAUUGAGUUGCACCGUCCUUUCCUA